rnacentral:rRNA from 1 species
CCUAACACAUGCAAGUCGAACGGGAAGCGGUGCAUAUUGCUUCGGUGAUAAUGUGCCGUGGAGAGUGGCGAACGGGUGCGUAACACGUAGGUAACCUGCCCUGAAAGGGGGGAUAACCACGGGAAACUGUGGCUAAUACCGUAUAAUCUCGCCGUGGCGGUGGUUACGGUGAGGAAAGCUGAGGCGAUUUGGGAGGGGCCUGCGGUCGAUUAGCUGGUUGGUGGGGUAAAGGCCCACCAAGGCGAUGAUCGAUAGCUGUUCUGAGAGGAAGACCAGCCACACGGGAACUGAGACACGGUUCCGACUCCUACGGGGGGCAGCAGUGAGGAAUAUUGCGCAAUGGGGGGAACCCUGACGCAGCAACGCCGCGUGGAGGACGAAGGUUUUCGGAUUGUAAACUCCUUAACUGGGGGAAGAGAGAGGACGGUACCCCAGGACGAAGACACGGCUAACUAGGUGCCAGCAGCCGCGGUAAUACCUAGGUGUCGAGCGUUAUCCGGAAUUACUGGGCGUAAAGGGUGCGCAGGCGGUGUUACAAGUCCGGCGUGAAAGCUUCUGGCUUAACUGGGAGAGGACGUCGGAAACUUUAGUGCUAGAGUGAAUGAGAGGGGGG